rnacentral:rRNA from 1 species
UACGUAGGGUCCGAGCGUUGUCCGGAAUUAUUGGGCGUAAAGGGCUCGUAGGCGGUUUGUCGCGUCGGGAGUGAAAACUCAGGGCUUAACCCUGAGCGUGCUUCCGAUACGGGCAGACUAGAGGGAUGCAGGGGAGAACGGAAUUCCUGGUGUAGCGGUGGAAUGCACAGAUAUCAGGAGGAACACCGGUGGCGAAGGCGGGUCUCUGGGCCACUACGUGACGCUGAGAAGCGAAAGCAUGGGGAGCGAACGAGGA